rnacentral:misc_RNA from 1 species
UCAGACUCGCACAGACGCCGAGCCCGUGCGCAGGUGUUCCCACCCCCUUUUUUCACUACUCCUCACCAGCGCCAUCGCAGGAGGCGGCGCGGCUCUUAUGCAGGUUGCCGUUCGCCGCCGGCCAAGGAAGAAAACGAAUAGCGCUGUGUGCUGUGCCGCGCGUGCUCAACGUUGUACCACUCGUGGCCCACCGAAGAGCAGCAGCCUUCGCGCGCGCGCACGCACUGAGGACCUUUGCCGCCCUGUGCCUUGUAUCGGCCUCGAAGCUGUUGCUCCGCGCACGCCAGGGAGCGUGAGACUUGGCGGAGGCGUGUCGCAGGGCUUUUUGGCCUCCCCAACCCCCACCAUACUCUCCAUCUUCACUGCUUUCCGCGAGCCAGUGAACUCACCAGCGGCCGCGAGCGCAAAGGAAAGAGAACGAUGCUGCGAAGGGCGAGGUGGCGUCGGCUUAGCGACCGCUGCUGCGGUCUCUCACAGCCGAUGCUCGUUACGACCAAGGCCCCACAACACUCUGUCCGCGGCCGCUGUACAUGCAGUGCACCUUCCGGUGCCGUCUCCACAGCUUGCCGGUCGUCCUCCUCGUGCGUGCCGUCGCCACUCGUGCUAGCCUCUGUAGCUGGCGCAUGUGGUGGACUUCCCAGUGCAGCUCUACGCAUUUCACUUAGGUGCGCGUCAGAUUUGGCAGGUUCAUCGGUGAGCCCCCUGUCGGCAGGCAAGCCGCUGCGCUUCGAACCCCCAUCGUCUAUGUCGCACAGCGCUCUCGCCUACGCCGCGUGCCCCAUGUGCACCCGGGUCGUGCACAUGGGACAGAUGCUGCACCACAUACUCUCUACGCACAAGGAGCAGGACCCGGCAUACUGGAUGCGCCUGUGCAAUGCACGACUGGCCCUGUACGAGCGGGUCACCGGCGCUCCGCUCGAAGGCACGGAGACCAUGCAUGGCGCUUGCUUGGUACAAGCAACUGCGGGUGUCGCCGAUGCCGCCGACUCUGAGGCGAUGAUGCCAGAUGGGCUUUCGCUUUCCACUCCUCUGAGUGCGCAAGACGCACUGCGGCCAUUCUUGCCGACCGUCUCGGAGACUGGGGCGUACACAUGCAACUGGUGCACGCUUAGAAGCGUUGCCUUUUCGAGCCGAGACGCCUUCCUUCUCCACGUCGCCAAGGAUCACCCGAAGCUCGACUUUGACGUUGUGGAGUCGCUUGUUCCUCAGCCUCACACGGUCUUGUCCAGAGCAGCACGCAACGAAGGCACAGACACACCCGCUCCGAGGGCGCCCGCGGCAGAGAGUGACGUGGCGAUGUCGGACUCGUGGACGCGGCAGCAGCGCGGCGGCGCAGGAUGCGUUGGGGCGGCUUCUAACUUACAUGCGGCGGAGGGGUUUCUGGAUGUAGCAUACCCGGUGCGCCGCAUGCCUGGCGUGCGCACCGUGAAGGACACGAACGUCGUGACGGUGAAGCCGGAGGUGCACCAGUUGGGCACCACUGUAGGACGUGUAGGUGGCAAAACGUUCGACCCCGCUCCCAUUUCCACUGGGGGCAGGCGGUCCCGGGCCGCCGUCUUGGCCUCCUCUACGGCCAGCGCUACGGCAGUGGCGAGUGACCUGCACUUCGACAAGGACUGCUUCCCGUGUGAGCUGUGCUUCCGCGUCUUUGUAUCGGAGCUGAAUCUUCUCCAGCACCUCGAAAGUAAGCACGCCAACCCCACCGCUUUUGCCUCCGCGAGCGACGCCGACGUAGAGCGUGGAGCACCUCCCGGCACUGCUUUCGCAUCUUCAACAGCUGCGGCGUCGCCGUCGUCCGUGGAGGUGUUUGUCGUAUGUGAUCGCUGCACAGACCGAAAGAAAGUCUUCCGCUCGUCGUCGGCCCUGUUCUCACACAUUCGCUUCCGCCAUCCUGCGGAGGAUGCGGCCUACGAAACGGAGCGGAUGAUCGAGGAGCAGAAGCAGAGUCGCGUGUUUCAAUGCCGGCAGUGCAGCUAUCGCUACCCAGACGCGACCAGACUGGAUGCGCACAUGCGUGACGCGCACGGGGUUGUGGGCUGCGCCGACGAGAGCACUAUCCGGGGAGGGCGCGUCGUCGCAGGAACGGCGCAGGCGCAUGGAUCUGGUGAACUGAAGACGGCGCAGCCAUCCCUCUUUUCAGCGCUGCCACCGGUCACGGUGCGGACACGAUUUUGGUGCAACGUGUGCGAGAAGGGCUUUGCGAAUGCGUCAGCGCUGUACGCGCACACGGAGUCGAAGCACACGACCAUCGCCAGCCUGUACCCCUGCCCCGCGUGCAAGCGCGAGUUUCGCGAUGUUCCGUCGUUAGAGUUGCAUGUCCGGCUUUGUCACAAGAACCUCAGCCUCAAGGAUAUGGGGCUUCAGUCUUCCGUGGAGUGCCCCGACUGCCUGCGACACUUUCUCAACUACGAGUCACUGCACGAUCACGCCGUUCGACACCACGGCAAGAGCGCCAUCGCCCCUGUCCGCAGCUUCCUAACCCCCGCGUCGGCGUCCACCGCGGGAGACGGAGUCGGUGUUGCUGCUGUUGCUGCUGCUGUACCAGUACCCGGCAUGAGCGCUGAUGCCUCUGGCAGCACGACGCCACCCCUCGCCGUAUCCGCUCCACCGAAGCCGCGCAAGGUAACUCGACGUAAGAAAGAACCAUCAAAGGCUGCCACCGAGUCGUAGCGUGCGAAGAAAAGCAAUGCGAAACGGCAGAGGUUCUGCCUCAAGCCGGCGAGCAAGGCAGCGGCUCCUCUGAGUCUGUGCGUGCUCGCGCGCCCUGCCGUUUCGCCGUCGCCUCUCUGUCGCACACGCUCGCUCGUUUCCUCUCUCUCUCUCUCGAGUGUGCGCUGCGCUCCUCUUCACAGCCUCGUCGUUGGCCCUCUCUUUGAGUUUGCGUGUACAUUUCUCUGCGCCGGGGCGGGCGAGGGGCUCGUUGGCUGGUUCAUUGGUGGUGUUGCCGUUUUACUGUCCCGUGUGUGAGGCGCCGGUGCGCUCGUUCAUAGUUGGGUUUAGCGGAAUGAGCGGAUGGGCGCUUGGCGCCUCAUGUUUCGUUGCCUCGCUCGCGUUAGGUGGGCUGCACGUGUCUGUGCGUGCUCAGCAGAUCGUGAGGAGACUACAAGGGAAGAACACAACUGCAUCAACGCAUAUGCGUACCGAGAGUGGUGCCGCUUCGCACACCGGUGGAUGGACAUGGGCAGUGCGAUUCGGGGUGACGCCGCACAAGCACGACAAGCGCAAAGGCAAGUGACCUGCCUUGAAGGCGGAGACGGGUGAUAGUGAUGAUGGGGGGAUGAGGUCAGAG